rnacentral:rRNA from 3 species
CGGCGCGAGCAGGUGCGAAAGCAGGUCAUAGUGAUCCGGUGGUUCUGAAUGGAAGGGCCAUCGCUCAACGGAUAAAAGGUACUCCGGGGAUAACAGGCUGAUACCGCCCAAGAGUUCAUAUCGACGGCGGUGUUUGGCACCUCGAUGUCGGCUCAUCACAUCCUGGGGCUGAAGUAGGUCCCAAGGGUAUGGCUGUUCGCCAUUUAAAGUGGUACGCGAGCUGGGUUUAGAACGUCGUGAGACAGUUCGGUCCCUAUCUGCCGUGGGCGCUGGAGAACUGAGGGGGGCUGCUCCUAGUACGAGAGGACCGGAGUGGACGCAUCACUGGUGUUCGGGUUGUCAUGCCAAUGGCACUGCCCGGUAGCUAAAUGCGGAAGAGAUAAGUGCUGAAAGCAUCUAAGCACGAAACUUGCCCCGA